GUGUCAAGUCAUAUGAGGAUCGUUGCUGCUUUAGUGAUCCAACACACCAUCAACUCCCACCCCCCCACCAAGGUCAAGCAGACAUGUCGCCUUGCCUCCAAGACCUCUCGGUCUUUGGCGGGGUCCACGGACUGUAAAAGCUGGUCCACCGGCUCCAUCGUCUGGACAACAACAGAAACAGCAGUCUUAAGUAAACCCGUCGACCGCACAAAAUCUGGUCUCGAGUUAACAUACGCUUUGAUUGAACAUGUCCGUCUCGUGUCGUAGUGUGGUGUAUUGACACAAGUGUUGCCGGAUCAUCUCCACUCGCUCCAACUCCAACCGUUCCAACUCCUGCAGAAUAUACAGUAGGUCACAUUUAGGACAUGGAAAAAUCGUCAUUAUGCACCUGUAACCUGAUAACAUGAUAAUCUGUCCACUGUAGUAACCACUGUCCCUGUAAGGGUUCACACGCUGUAAUUUACGUAAAUGUUUACCCACUGUUAAGCUUGGUAGAUUCCUAGCGUUGUUAUUUACAUUCCCCAAAUGGUGAGAUCCACACAUAAACUCACCAGACUGGUGGUGACCAUCUCCUCAAACCAUUUGGACUGCGAUUGGUUGUAUAGGUCCACACAGCGCAUGAGCUCAUCUCCUAUUAAUGAGAACAAAAUGUGGAUUUAACAUGUGUACAUGUCACACAUUAGAUUUGUGCGAUUCAACAGCAAAUUCAUCAGACAACUUGGAAUAAUCAUCAAGUGCCUGAACUUUAAUAGCCGAUGCCUCACAAAAUGUUUUUUUUUUACUCCAACUUCAACUUGUCCUCCCCAAAGAAAGAAAAACUGAACGCUCUUGAUUUUGAUUAAAAAGUGACAAUUAUAGGAUGAGCCUUGGAGAAAAAAAAAGUGUUCUCAUUUGUGAUACACAAAACUCGCUGAACUACAGUAAACC